rnacentral:misc_RNA from 1 species
GAUGAAGAACGUAGCGAAAUGCGAUAAGUAAUGUGAAUUGCAGAAUUCAGUGAAUCAUCGAAUCUUUGAACGCACAUUGCGCCCGCUAGUAUUCUGGCGGGCAUGCCUGUCCGAGCGUCAUUUCAACCCUCAAGCCCCCGGGCUUGGUGUUGGGGAUCGGCGAGCCUCCGCGCCCGCCGUCCCCUAAAUCUAGUGGCGGUCUCGCUGUAGCUUCCUCUGCGUAGUAGCACACCUCGCACUGGGAAACAGCGCGGCCACGCCGUUAAACCCCCAACUUCUGAACGUUUGACCUCGGAUCAGGUAGGAAUACCCGCUGAACUUAAGCAUAUCAAUAACGGAGGA